GACGAAGGAUGCAAGCGUUAUCCGGAUUCAUUGGGUUUAAAGGGCGCGUAGGUGGGUUGGUAAGUCAGUGGUGAAAUCCCCGAGCUUAACUUGGGAACUGCCAUUGAUACUAUCAGUCUUGAAUACUGUGGAGGUUAGCGGAAUAUGUCAUGUAGCGGUGAAAUGCUUAGAUAUGACAUAGAACACCAAUUGCGAAGGCAGCUGGCUACACAAAUAUUGACACUGAGGCUCGAAAGCGUGGGGAUCAAACAGG
rnacentral:rRNA from 1 species